AUACGGAGGGUGCAAGCGUUAUUCGGAAUCACUGGGCGUAAAGGACGCGUAGGCGGGUUGGCAAGUCAGAUGUGAAAUCCUACAGCUUAACUGUAGAACUGCAUUUGAAACUGCUAACCUAGAGUAUGGGAGAGGGAGAUGGAAUUAGUGGUGUAGGGGUAAAAUCCGUAGAUAUCACUAGGAAUACCGAAAGCGAAGGCGAUCUCCUGGAACAUAACUGACGCUAAGGCGUGAAAGCGUGGGGAGCAAACGGGAUUAGAAACCCCAGUAGUCC
rnacentral:rRNA from 1 species